GGAGAUUGAGAUCGAGGAUGGCUCUAGUAAAGGAAAAUUCUUGACAAAGGUUAUAGUAUGCUCCAUAGGUGUGUGAGAAUCACGGAAUGUCUUGAGUUGUUAUUGGUAAAAGAUGAUUGGUGCCUAGAGCAGGAAGUUACUUGGUUGUUUUGGAAUGAGGUUACAUUCUGCGGUGUCGGAGUGCUAAUGAGGCACUGGUUGUUCGGUUCGUUUGAUCAGG
rnacentral:lncRNA from 1 species